rnacentral:rRNA from 1 species
CCUACGGGAGGCAGCAGUAGGGAAUCUUCCACAAUGGGCGAAAGCCUGAUGGAGCAACGCCGCGUGGGUGAAGAAGGUCUUCGGAUCGUAAAACCCUGUUGUUAGAGAAGAAAGUGCGUGAGAGUAACUGUUCACGUGUCGACGGUAUCUAACCAGAAAGCCACGGCUAACUACGUGCCAGCAGCCGCGGUAAUACGUAGGUGGCAAGCGUUAUCCGGAUUUAUUGGGCGUAAAGGGAACGCAGGCGGUCUUUUAAGUCUGAUGUGAAAGCCUUCGGCUUAACCGGAGUAGUGCAUUGGAAACUGGGAGACUUGAGUGCAGAAGAGGAGAGUGGAACUCCAGGUGUAGCGGUGAAAUGCGUAGAUAUAUGGAAGAACACCAGUGGCGAAAGCGGCUCUCUGGUCUGUAACUGACGCUGAGGUUCGAAAGCGUGGGUAGCAAACAGGAUUAGAUACCCCAGUAGUC